CCUACGGGUGGCAGCAGUGAGGAAUAUUGGUCAAUGGCCGGGAGGCUGAACCAGCCAAGUCGCGUGAGGGAAGACGGCCCUACGGGUUGUAAACCUCUUUUGUCAGGGAGCAAGGUGCAGGUCGGGACCUGCUGUGAGAGUACCUGAAGAAAAAGCAUCGGCUAACUCCGUGCCAGCAGCCGCGGUAAUACGGAGGAUGCGAGCGUUAUCCGGAUUUAUUGGGUUUAAAGGGUGCGCAGGCGGAGGCACAAGUCAGCGGUAAAAUCGCGGGGCUCAACCUCGGCGCUACCGCCAAAACUAUUAGACUAGAGUGCAGGAGGGGUAAGUGGAAUUCCUAGGGUAGCGGUGGAAGGCGUAGAUAUUAGGAGGAACAUCAGGGGCGAAGGCGACUUACUGGACUGUAACUGACACUGAGGCACGAAAGCGUGGGGAGCAAACAGGAUUAGAUACCCUGGUAGUC
rnacentral:rRNA from 1 species